GAUGAACGCUAGCUACAGGCUUAACACAUGCAAGUCGAGGGGAAACGAUAGAGAAAGCUUGCCUUUUCUAGGCGUCGACCGGCGCACGGGUGAGUAACGCGUAUCCAACCUGCCCAUCACUUGGGGAUAACCUUGCGAAAGUAAGACUAAUACCCAAUGAUAUCUCUAGAAGACAUCUGAAAGGGAUUAAAGAUUUAUCGGAGAUGGAUGGGGAUGCGUCUGAUUAGCUUGUGGGCGGGGUAACGGCCCACCAAGGCGACGAUCAGUAGGGGUCCUGAGAGGAAGGUCCCCCACAUUGGAACUGAGACACGGUCCAAACUCCUACGGGAGGCAGCAGUGAGGAAUAUUGGUCAAUGGGCGAGAGCCUGAACCAGCCAAGUAGCGUGCAGGAUGACGGCCCUAUGGGUUGUAAACUGCUUUUAUAAGGGAAUAAAGUGAGUCUCGUGAGACUUUUUGCAUGUACCUUAUGAAUAAGGACCGGCUAAUUCCGUGCCAGCCGCCGCAGUAA
rnacentral:rRNA from 1 species